AUGGGCCACAGCUCUCCUGGCCAUCCUAUAAUCUUGGCCCAACAUAGUGCCAAAGAAGAGUGUGCUGCCAGGGGAAAGGGUAAAUGGAGCACUGGCUUAUCAAGCUAUGCUCAUCUCAGUGUUGAAGAACUUCACUCCGGUUUUUUAAACCGUCUGCACUCAAACCGUGACUAUGAAGCCGGUUUGGUGAACCUGAUGAAGGAACGCUAUGAGGCCGAGCUAAGCAAUAGAUAUGCCCGAACCGCUGAUUUGCAAGAGAACGUGAAGUCCCAACAAGAAGAGGCUGUGAAAGCCAAGGAGGAGCUGACCAAAGCCCUGACAGCUAUGGAAAAGCUAAAGGAGUCUUUUAACAAGGAACAUGCUGACUGGGAAACCGAAAAGGCCGGUUUAACCAAAAGAGCUGAGGAUGCCGAAGCAGCCCUGAAGCCAGUGAUGAAGCUGUGUACCUAG
rnacentral:rRNA from 1 species